AUACGUAUGUCGCAAGCGUUAUCCGGAAUUAUUGGGCGUAAAGCGAGUCUAGGCGGCUUGUUAAGUCAGAUGUGAAAAUGCGGGGCUCAACUCCGUAUUGCGUUUGAAACUGGCCGGCUAGAGUACUGGAGAGGUGGGCGGAACUACAAGUGUAGAGGUGAAAUUCGUAGAUAUUUGUAGGAAUGCCGAUAGUGAAGACAGCUCACUGGACAGAUACUGACGCUAAAGCUCGAAAGCGUGGGGAGCGAACAGGAUUAGAAACCCUAGUAGUCC
rnacentral:rRNA from 1 species